GACGAACGCUGGCGGCGUGCUUAACACAUGCAAGUCGAACGGACAGGCCCUGCUUUUGUGGGGUGCUCGAGUGGCGAACGGGUGAGUAACACGCGAGUAACCUGCCCUUGACUUUGGGAUAACUUCAGGAAACUCGGGCUCAUACCGGAUAGGAGCUCCUGCUGCAUGGUGGGGGUUGGAAAGUUUCGGCGGUUGGGGAUGGACUCGCGGCUUAUCAGCUUGUUGGUGGGGUAGUGGCUUACCAGGGCUUUGACGGGUAGCCGGCCUGAGAGGGUGACCGGCCACAUUGGGACUGAGGUACGGCCCAGACUCCUACGGGAGGCAGCAGUGGGGAAUAUUGCACAAUAGGCGGAAGCCUGAUGCAGCGACGCCGCGUGCGUGAUGACGGCCUUCGGGUUGUAAACCGCUUUCGCCUGUGACGAAGCGUGAGUGACGGUAAUGGGUAAAGAAGCACCGGCUAACUACGUG
rnacentral:rRNA from 1 species